rnacentral:rRNA from 1 species
AGUGGCGAACGGGUGAGUAACACGUGACCAACCUGCCUCUUACAUUGGGACAACCAAAGAAAUUCUGGCUAAUACCAAAUACUCCGCACAUAUCACAUGAUGUAUGCGGGAAAGCUUUUGCGGUAAGAGAUGGGGUCGCGGCCCAUUAGGUAGACGGCGGGGUAGAAGCCCACCGUGCCGAUGAUGGGUAGCCGGGUUGAGAGACCGACCGGCCACAUUGGGACUGAGACACGGUCCAAACUCCUACGGGAGGCAGCAGUC